rnacentral:pre_miRNA from 1 species
UUGGGUGAAAUCAAUGUAGGACAUACACUUUGAAAAUGGAACCUACAUAAAGUGGUGGGACAUAUAUUGAUUUCACCCAA